CCUUACCAACCCUUGACAUCCUAGGACAACUCCAGAGGUGGAGCCUUCCUUCGGGACCUAGUGACAGGGGCUGCAUGGCUGUCGUCAGCUCGUGUCGUGAGAUGUUCGGUUAAGUCCGGCAACGAGCGCAACCCACGUCUUUAGUUGCCAGCAGUUCGGCUGGGCACUCUAAAGAAACUGCCCGUGAUAAGCGGGAGGAAGGUGUGGAUGACGUCAAGUCCUCAUGGCCCUUACGGGUUGGGCUACACACGUGCUACAAUGGUGUCUACAGUGGGUUAAUCUCCAAAAGACAUCUCAGUUCGGAUUGUCGUCUGCAACUCGACGGCAUGAAGUCGGAAUCGCUAGUAAUCGCGUAACAGCAUGACGCGGUGAAUACGUUCCC
rnacentral:rRNA from 1 species